UAUGUGUUGGCUAUUCGUAGCAAGGCUAUUUAGUUUGACUGCACAUACCCUUGGUCCCUAGCCAUUUGGAUUCUUGCUAUAUAUGUUGGCUGUUGUAGGUUUAGGUUCGUUGUUUGGAGUAGGAUGCAUCUAGAUAAAAUCUAUCGAUCUUGGUAGAAAAAGAGUAGUCCUGUACGAUUUGCAAAACUGAGUUCAGAAAGCUCUGAUCGUAGCAAGUGUGAAUACUGAAAAAAAGUUUCUAUGGAAUUCAUAAUUGAACUCGAUUCGAGCCAAUCUAGCAUAUGACUGAUGAUGGGAUUUGAUGGGUUCUCCAUGACCUCCGUCUAGUCGGGACUCACGAUAGAGGGACUG
rnacentral:lncRNA from 1 species